GUGCUGGCUUCAGCAGCACAUAUACUAAAGUUGGAACGAUACAAAGACGAUUGGCAUGGCCCCUGUGCAAGGACAACACAUAAAAUAAGAAUUCAAAUGAAACAAUA